AUUGAACGCUGGCGGCAGGCCUAACACAUGCAAGUCGAACGAGUGGCGGACGGGUGAGUAAUGUCGGGGACACUGCCUGAUGGAGGGGGAUAACUACUGGAAACGGUAGCUAAUACCGCAUACCAUCGGGUGUGCCCAGAUGGGAUUAGCUAGUAGUUGGGGUAAAGGGUCACCUAGGCGACGAUCCCUAGCUGGUCUGCGAGGAUGACCAGCCACACUGGACCUGAGACACGGUCUAGACGCCUACGGGAGGCAGGAGUGGGAAAUAUUGGACAAUGGGCGCAAGGCUGAUGCAGCCAUGCCGCGGGUAUGAAGAAGGCGUUCGGGUUGUAAAGGACGUUCAGCGGGGAGGCGUUACCCGCAGAAGAAGCACCGGCUAACUCCGUGCCAGCAGCCGCGGUAAUUC
rnacentral:rRNA from 1 species